ACGGGGUGCAGCAGGCGCGAAAACUUUACAAUGCGAGCAAUCGUGAUAAGGGAACUCCGAGUGCCUGUAAAAUCAGGCUGUCCGCCAGUGUAAAUAACUGGUGAAGAAAGGGCCGGGCAAGACCGGUGCCAGCCGCCGCGGUAAUACCGGCGGCUCGAGUGGUGGCCACUAUUACUGGGCUUAAAGCGUUCGUAGCUGGUCUGUUAAGUCUCUGGGGAAAUCUUCCGGCUUAACCGGAAGGCGUCUCAGGGAUACUGGCAGACUAGGGACCGGAAGAGGUGAGAGGUACUCCAGGGGUAGGAGUGAAAUCCUGUAAUCCUUGGGGGACCACCUGUGGCGAAGGCGUCUCACCAGGACGGCUCCGACAGUGAGGAACGAAAGCUGGGGGAGCAAACCGGAUUAGAUACCCGGGUAGUCCCAGCUGUAAACGAUGCGCGUUAGGUGUAUCGGUGACCACGAGUCACCGAGGUGCCGAAGAGAAAUCGUGAAACGCGCCGCCUGGGAAGUACGGUCGCAAGGCCGAAACUUAAAGGAAUUGGCGGGGGAGCAC
rnacentral:rRNA from 1 species